GACGAGCGCUGGCGGCGUGCUUAACACAUGCAAGUCGAACGGUGAAGCGCCUUCCUUUUUGGUGGGUGUGGAUGAGUGGCGAACGGGUGAGUAACACGUGAGUAACCUGCCCCCUUCUUCUGGAUAACCGCAUGAAAGUGUGGCUAAUACGGGAUAUUCUGGGUCUGUCGCAUGAUGGGUCUGGGAAAGAUCUUGUUUCGGUGGGGGAUGGGCUCGCGGCCUAUCAGCUUGUUGGUGGGGUGAUGGCCUACCAAGGCGGUGACGGGUAGCCGGCCUGAGAGGGUGGACGGGCACACUGGGACGGAGGCACGGCCCAGACUCCUACGGGAGGCAGCAGUGGGGAAUAUGGCACAAUGGGCGCAAGCCUGAUGCAGCGACGCCGCGUGAGGGAUGGAGGCCUUCGGGUUGUGAACCUCUUUCGCCAGUGAAGCAGGCCUGCCUCGUUUGUGGGUGGGUUGACGGUAGCUGGAUAAGAAGCGCCGGCUAACUACGUG
rnacentral:rRNA from 1 species